CCAAGUCUCUUAAAUUGCGCAAGAAUGUUUUGUUUUUUAUUUCUAUUUUUUUCUCUAUUUGCACCCAUGCUUUGCUCUUAAGCACCAAAACAAAUGGGGCAAUACCAAAUGAGAAUUUCCACCCAAGUCUCUUAAAUUGCGCAAGAAUGUUUUGUUUUUUAUUUUUAUUUUUUUGGGUGAGUCAAUGGGGAGAAGCCCUUGCCUUAUUAGGAAUUGAGCAAAAUUUUUUUUUUUUUUGGACGAGUCAAUGGAGAGAAGCCCCUACCUUGUUAGGAAUUGAGUCUAAGACAUAAUGUUGCAAAUUGUCAAGUGCUAACUAGUUAAGCUGG
rnacentral:lncRNA from 1 species